UACGUAGGUGGCAAGCGUUGUCCGGAUUUACUGGGUGUAAAGGGCGUGCAGCCGGAGAGACAAGUCAGAUGUGAAAUCCACGGGCUCAACCCGUGAACUGCAUUUGAAACUGGUUCCCUUGAGUGUCGGAGAGGUAAUCGGAAUUCCUUGUGUAGCGGUGAAAUGCGUAGAUAUAAGGAAGAACACCAGUGGCGAAGGCGGAUUACUGGACGAUAACUGACGGUGAGGCGCGAAAGCGUGGGGAGCAAACAGG
rnacentral:rRNA from 1 species